rnacentral:rRNA from 1 species
GACGAACGCUGGCGGCGUGCUUAACACAUGCAAGUCGAACGGAAAGGCCCUGCUUUUGUGGGGUGCUCGAGUGGCGAACGGGUGAGUAACACGUGAGUAACCUGCCCUUGACUUUGGGAUAACUUCAGGAAACUGGGGCUAAUACCGGAUAUGAGCUCCUGCUGCAUGGUGGGGGUUGGAAAGUUUCGGCGGUUGGGGAUGGACUCGCGGCUUAUCGGCUUGUUGGUGGGGUAGUGGCUUACCAAGGCUUUGACGGGUAGGCGGCCUGAGAGGGUGACCGGCCACAUUGGGACUGAGAGACGGCGCAGACUGCUACGGGAGGCAGCAGGGGGGAAUAUUGCACAAUGGGCGGAAGCCUGAUGCAGCAACGCCGCGUGCGGGAUGACGGCCUUCGGGUUGUAAACCGCUUUCGCCUGUGACGAAGCGUGAGUGACGGUAAUGGGUAAAGAAGCACCGGCUAACUACGUG